rnacentral:rRNA from 1 species
AUGAACGCUGGCUGCGUGCCUAAUACAUGCAAGUCGAGCGAACAGACGAGGAGCUUGCUCCUCUGACGUUAGCGGCGGACGGGUGAGUAACACGUGGAUAACCUACCUAUAAGACUGGGAUAACUUCGGGAAACCGGAGCUAAUACCGGAUAAUAUAUUGAACCGCAUGGUUCAAUAGUGAAAGACGGUUUUGCUGUCACUUAUAGAUGGAUCCGCGCCGCAUUAGCUAGUUGGUAAGGUAACGGCUUACCAAGGCAACGAUGCGUAGCCGACCUGAGAGGGUGAUCGGCCACACUGGAACUGAGACACGGUCCAGACUCCUACGGGAGGCAGCAGUAGGGAAUCUUCCGCAAUGGGCGAAAGCUUGACGGAGCAACGCCGCGUGAGUGAUGAAGGUCUUCGGAUCGUAAAACUCUGUUAUUAGGGAAGAACAAAUGUGUAAGUAACUAUGCACGUCUUGACGGUACCUAAUCAGAAAGCCACGGCUAACUACGUG